GACGAACGCUGUUUGCGUGCUUAACACAUGCAAGUCGAACGGAAAGGCCCUGCUUUUGUGGGGUGCUCGAGUGGCGAACGGGUGAGUAACACGUGAGUAACCUGCCCUUGACUUUGGGAUAACUUCAGGAAACUGGGGCUAAUACCGGAUAGGAGCUCCUGCUGCAUGGUGGGGGUUGGAAAGUUUCGGCGGUUGGGGAUGGACUCACGGCUUAUCAGCUUGUUGGUGGGGUAGUGGCUUACCAAGGCUUUGACGGGUAGCCGGCCUGAGAGGGUGACCGGCCACAUUGGGACUGAGAUACGGCCCAGACUCCUACGGGAGGCAGCAGUGGGGAAUAUUGCACAAUGGGCGGAAGCCUGAUGCAGCAACGCCGCGUGCGGGAUGACGGCCUUCGGGUUGUAAACCGCUUUCGCCUGUGACGAAGCGUGAGUGACGGUAAUGGGUAAAGAAGCACCGGCUAACUACGUGCCAGCAGCCGCGGUGAUACGUAGGGUGCGAGCGUUGUCCGGAUUUAUUGAGCGUAAAGGGCUCGUAGGUGGUUGAUCGCGUCGGAAGUGUAAUCUUGGGGCUUAACCCUGAGCGUGCUUUCGAUACGGGUUGACUUGAGGAAGGUAGGGGAGAAUGGAAUUCCUGGUGGAGCGGUGGAAUGCGCAGAUAUCAGGAGGAACACCAGUGGCGAAGGCGGUUCUCUGGGCCUUUCCUGACGCUGAGGAGCGAAAGCGUGGGGAGCGAACAGGCUUAGAUACCCUGGUAGUCCACGCUGUAAACGGUGGGUACUAGGUGUGGGGUCCAUUCCACGGGUUCCGUGCCGUAGCUAACGCUUUAAGUACCCCGCCUGGGGAGUACGGCCGCAAGGCUAAAACUCAAAGGAAUUGACGGGGCCCCGCACAAGCGGCGGAGCAUGCGGAUUAAUUCGAUGCAACGCGUGGAACCUUACCUGGGUUUGACAUGGAUCGGGAGUGCUCAGAGAUGGGUGUGCCUCUUUUGGGGUCGGUUCACAGGUGGUGCAUGGCUGUCGUCAGCUCGUGUCGUGAGAUGUUGGGUUAAGUCCCGCAACGAGCGCAACCCUUGUUCACUGUUGCCAGCACGUUAUGGUGGGGACUCAGUGGAGACCGCCGGGGUCAACUCGGAGGAAGGUGGGGAUGACGUCAAGUCAUCAUGCCCCUUAUGUCCAGGGCUUCACGCAUGCUACAAUGGCUGGUACAGAGAGUGGCGAGCCUGUGAGGGUGAGCGAAUCUCGGAAAGCCGGUCUCAGUUCGGAUUGGGGUCUGCAACUCGACCUCAUGAAGUCGGAGUCGCUAGUAAUCGCAGAUCAGCAACGCUGCGGUGAAUACGUUCCCGGG
rnacentral:rRNA from 1 species